UUACUGGUGAAGAGUUCCAAACUAGGACGAAACAACUGUCCGGUAA
rnacentral:hammerhead_ribozyme from 1 species